UAGGGAAUCUUCCGCAAUGGACGAAAGUCUGACGGAGCAACGCCGCGUGAGUGAAGAAGGCCUUCGGGUCGUAAAACUCUGUUGCCGGGGAAGAACAAGUGCCGUUCGAACAGGGCGGCGCCUUGACGGUACCCNNCCGGAAAGCCACGGCUAACUACGUGCCAGCAGCCGCGGUNAUACGNAGGUGGCNAGCGUUGUCCGGAAUNNUUGGGCGUNAAGCGCGCGCNGGCGGCUNCUNNAGUCUGAUGUGAAAUCUUGCGGCUCAACCAAGCGGUCNUUGGAAACUGGGAGGCUUGAGUGCNGAAGAGGAGAGUGGAAUUCCACGAGUAGCGGUGAAAUGCGUAGAGAUGUGGAGGAACACCAGUGGCGAAGGCGGCUCUCUNGUCUGUAACUGACGCUGAGGCGCGAAAGCGUGGNNAGCNAACAGGAUUAGAUACCCUGGUAGUCCACGCCGUAAACGAUGAGUGCUAAGUGUUAGAGGGUUUCCGCCCUUUAGUGCUGCACUAACGCAUUAAGCACUCCGCCUGGGGAGUACGG
rnacentral:rRNA from 1 species